GCCGGAGCCAAACACAUCAGACUCACAUCAUAUCUCCCCUUCCUUUGCUUCAACAUUUUCUAUUCAAUGCCUGAGUGGGUUAUAUUGGGUCUCCAGUCUCCUGCCACAUCCCAAUACAUGCAUGGGUUAGCCAACCAGGGUAUAACCCUGCUUCUCACUUGUGGAUAGCUGGGAAAAGCUCCAUUACCUUAGUGAGGAUAAGAGGUACAGAAAAUGGGAUGUAUCCUGAGGAAAAUAUGAGUUUUUGGGCACAUCAACAGAGUCAUUCCUCAAUAACUGCAAAUCACUUUUGGCCUCCAACCUAUGGUCAGUGGUGACACGAGUGAGCACCAAACAAGAGUCAAUAGCAACGGCAAAAUAAGAUGUUUGGGAUGGACAUGGAAGAUUUGUGAGAGCCUUGUGGAUGUCAUGCAAUGAUUCUACAAUCUCAGCGGAGCACGUCUUUAGAGAUGUUGAGGUUUUCAGCCAUCUGGCAAUACUUUCACAAAUAGAAAAUAAUGCAACAGUAGUGAAAAUGUCAACAUGUUUACACAUGGAACACAUUAAUCUAGUCAAACUAAUAUUACAGUCAAGGAGAAUAGAUCAGUUUAGCUUUGAGCCGUAGUUACAGUAUUAUUCGAGAAAUUCACCCCGUGUGAGAAACCUGGAGUGGUGAGGUCGGAAUCAUGAUUCUCCAACCUUUUGGGAGAAAAGAGGACACCAGUUUCUUACGAGUGCACAAGCGACCAAAUAUGGUAACUUGUCCGAGAAAGUGGAAACCAACCAUCCAUCCAUUUUCUACUGCUUCUCCGGGUCGGGGCGCAGGGGAAGUAGCUUCGGCAGGGAUACCCAGACUUCCCUUUCGCCGGCCACUUCUUCAAGCUCUUCCGGAGUGAUCCUGAGGCGUUCCCAGAUCAGCUGAGCGACAGUCUCUCCAGCGUGUCCUGUAUCAUUCCUGGGGUCUCUUUCCGGUGCGACAUGCCCGGAACACCUCACCAGGGAGGUGACUGGGAGGCAUCCGGAUCAGAUGCCCCAGCCACCUCAUCUGCCUCCUCUCAAUGCAGAGGAGGAGCGGCUCAACAUUGAGCCCCUCCCAGAUGACCGAGCUUCUCACACUAUCUCUAAGGGAGAGCCCAGACACCCUACGGAAGAAUUUCAUUUUGGCCGGUUGUGUCCGGGAUCUUGUUCUUUCGGUCACGGCGAACAGCUCGUGGCCAUAGGCAAGGGUAGGAACGUAGAUCGACUGGUAAAUUAAGAGCUUUGCCGUUCGACUUCGCUCCCUCUUUACCACAAUGGAUCGAUACAAAGUCUGCAUCACAGCAGACGCUGCACCGAUCCGUCUGUCGAUCUCCCGCUCCAUUCUUCCCUCACUCAUGAACAAGACUCCAAGAUAAGGUCACCAACCAUUGCUAAUUCAAAAUUAUGGCGGCAUGAUGAGGGGUAAAACUCGAAAUAAACAUUCAUCCACAAUGACACAAAGUGUGAAAGGAACUGAAAGACCAAUCCACAGGGCAAUUCCACCCCGGGGGUGAACAUUUGAAAAUUUAGCAGAGAGAGACAGAAAAAAUUUACAGUAUUUUCCUCUUUUCUGAGUAUAAAUGAAACCCAACAAAUCAAUGAUGCUUUGUCUCAAAGCUAAGUCUGAUAGAAGAAGGAUCAUAUUUCUAAAAUCACUCCCAAAAUAAAAACCUGUUGGGGGUGACACUUGACGUUUAAAAAAAAAAAAACUUCAGGGAGGACAAACCACAAAUACAUUAUUUAACAAAACCCAGGGUUCACUGUUGUAAGUAAGUGUGUAGAUGUUUGGCCGAGAACCAGGCCACAAAGCAAAACCGUCCCACUGCACUCGCAAGGGUUCCUCCCUCUAAUGCUCUGCAUGACUUUGUGCGUGAGUUUCAAUGGGCUUUGUUUUGGAAAUGCUUUAGGCCAACCAUACAUUAAGAGACUAUAAAAAGACUACCACGUGUGGACAGUUUUAGGUACGCCAGCCAUCUUAUCUUAAUCUGCACAGUUUCCAUCCCAGCCCACAGAUAAGUCUCGCAUUACAAGAUCAUGCAGGUUCUCUCGUGGUCAUAUCAAGGUAGUUUGAUGGUAAUUGAAACAUGCAGCUCCCAAUCUCCAGAGAGUUUGGCCAUGCUGUGGACAACGCUACUGUAGUCGGACAGUCAGUUUCGGAGUGGAACAUUUCAAUAUAUGGAAAAAUCAGGGGAGUUAACUCCUUUUCAUUCAAGGGGUAUUUGGAAGACAUAAAACCACACUUAUGUAUGUCAUAUGUAUUUUUAUUUUCAAAAGUGACUUUGGAAAGAAGAGAGAUUGGAUUUGAAAUUGCUAGAACUACCCCACCUACACCAUCACUUUCAACAUGAAUUUUAUAAUGUCUCUUCAAUCAUCACAGAUUUCACAAGUUUCAAGGCUGACACUGAUAUCAGUGUUUUCGUAUGGGAGCUUUCCAUGACUCAUAUCUUGACAGAUAUGCAAUACACUUCAUUAAGAUUUCAGCGGAUUGUCCGAAAGUCAAUAUUUUAUAUUCUUGGCAGAACAAAGAGGCUGGAUUUGGACAAUAGUACAAAGUUAGAGCUAUCCAGAAACGUAGAUGAUUGUAGGCUUUGCAUAAGAGAACAUGGCUUCCCAACAGAACACUUUCAGCCAUUAUACCAUAUUUAUUAGGGAGGUGAAAAUAAAUCCUAAACACAGACAUUGAAGCAUUGUCAAAUUUCUUGGUCCAACUCUUGCACUACAGUGAGGGUAAAAAAAAAAAAAAAGAUACAUUUCCUUUGAUGGCUCUGCUAUUUCUAUCAAAAUUACGAGAUUUUUUCACAUUGUUUAAGAGACACUGUGGAAAGCAUUUUUUAGCUAUAUCAUUUCUAAACAGAGGUGGGGGAUCUCAGGAGAGAAACAGGACAAAACAACAUGCUGCCAUAAAUAUGAUUGUAAAUUAUAAAUGAGAUUGUUGCUGAGUGUGACCAAAAUGUUUGUGCAUCACACACACACAUGCACACAUUUCUGUUGUGUAUCUAAAAAUUGAUACCUUAUGAAUAAAAACACAACUUUGUUCUAUCUUACGUAUUGGAGUGAUUUACAUAACAUGUCUCCACUCUGCAUUUUCUCUGUAACGCGUCCAUCACAACUAAUGAAUUCUCCCACCCUACUGACUAUCUUAUAUUCCAAAACAUAGAAUCUAACGUCACUGGCAGGACGACCCAACUGUCAUCUUAUGUCCAACGUGUUUCUUUUUACCCCCUCAAACUUGGCAUUUUAUGGCAUCUUUAAGGAAUGACCUCUACUCUUGUCAGAUCGGAGCCACAAAACAAUUAGCGAAAUGAUUAAAUUACUGGAAACACAAACUAAUGCUCAAGAUCCAUCUGAAUUGUUUUAACGACUGCAUUCUGGCACUGUCUCGCGUCAAGUGAGAGCCAAGCAUUUCUGUGUUGUAUCAAGAAUUUGGCGGUUGAAAUGUCCAGUUGUGGAGUUGACUGAAUCUGGAAAAUUGCAGGGUCAGUUGAUGAGUCCACAAAAUUCGCUUCUGUGUUUUUAUUUCAGAAAAUAGAAUACAUACAAUCUCUCUCUAGAGAGUGAGCCAUAAUGCACCAUUAAAGGGUUCUACUCCUAAAAGUUAAAUAAUGCAUACAGCAGAUCUUUGGAAUUUAUCCAUGUACAGAGCAAAAAAAAAAAAAAAAAAAAAUUGAGAACGAAAGAAAGGACACUGCGAUGUUUGAAUGAAGCUAACUUGCAAUUGUUAUUCUGCACUGUAAUCUUUUUGUGAACUUUAGGCCUGUAGUUCUUCAUUGGUCUAUUUUUUUUUUUAGCUCAUUGAAGCAUAUUUGGUGUGGGGAAAGAUAUCAAACAUUCAUUUCAUUAGUCCUUGAGAAUGCAACAGUGUAUUACUUUAAAUUGCAUUUAACUCUCCUGAUACAGUGCAGGUCAAAUCGACCCAUGGAAGUUCCAAGUUAAACCAAUCAAAUAUUGACUGAAUGAUGAGCGAUGAAAGUAUGAUUAAUAUUCUUGUUUUUUUCUUUUUUUUUCCCUUCAGACACUUUUUAACAAUAGGUCAAACUUUUUUUUCCUUUCGGCUUGUCCCGUUACGGGUUGCCACAGCGUGUCAUCUCAGAUGAACGGAUAUUUGUUUGGCACAGUUUUACGCUGAAUGUCCUUCCUGACUUAACCCCUCUGCUUUUUUAGCCAGGGAGAGAUGCUUACAGCACCUGUCUCCCAUCCAAGUACUAACCAGGGCCAAACCUGCUUCACUUCAGAGAUCUGACGAGAUCGGGUGUUCUCAGGUUAGCAUGGCCGUAAGCAUAAUAGGACAAACUGACGACAGAAUAUUAUUUCUCUUCUUGAGAAAUAAAUGUAGCAGAAGGUUAAAGACUGAUAGUUUAAGGGCAGCCACAUUGACAUUCAUGGGGAAAGUGGCCCGAGGCCAAAUCACCCUCAGACAUUCUAUUGCUGAGUAACGACUAACGGUUCCAAGUCACUUAUCCUCUCACUAUGACACUAAAGCUGUACGAGUUCUCCUCGAAUUUUGAUGGAGAUCCAUUGCUGGGCGGUGGCGUAACCCGAACUCGUGUGUAAGUCGGAAGACAGUCUCACAAAUGCAGUAUUUAAGUCAUAAUCACAGAUGUGUAUGUGUGCGGUAACUGGGGGAGGCUUUUUGUGCCGCGGGACCACACGCUCACUCCACUACACAAAUUGGUUCACCGAAACAUUAUCUUGUGAUAGACCAAAGAAAUCCUGUUCUGCCAUUUGGAAUUUGUAUCCUGUUUCAUCUCCGGUGUACAGUUCACUGAUAAACUGAUAACAUUUGAAAAGUUAGUGUUACCAUUUUGAAUGCUUAAUCGUUAUUACUUUCCUGUUUUAUAGGACGCUAAGUGAGCAUGCCUUCUUCUGACAAUGUAUUUUUCGCACAUUUGUUAAUUGCUCGCAUUUGUAACCUCAAAAGUUGUAAAUCGGGGUUGUAGGAAAUUGAGGACACCCGGUAAUAAUUUUUUGGUGGUUAAUUUCAAAUACGAAUGCAUGAAAAUGAUAACUGUACUGAUGUUUUUUUUGUGAGUUUUUUAGAUUAACAUGUCUCAAGAUAUGCAUGAAAAACUAAAAUGGCCUGGUGAGUAGAAA